AAAAUCCCAUGUGUGGUUGUCAAGAUAUGAUCAAAUCAUUUUCACCAAUUUUUGAACUUCAACAAGCCAUAACUCUCAAACCAUAAGGCCAAAUUUGGUGGGGUUUUUUCCUACAAACCACAUUUUUCAUCCUCUUUCCAAAAAUAUAAAUUUCAUGACCUAAAACCCUACCAUUCAAAAUGGCAUUUUUGGACCAAUUCCUUCAAAAUUCAAAGUUUGACCAAACUUUGACUUUUUGAUUUAUGGACUUUUUCACCAUUUUGCCAAUUGGGAAAUGUUCCAUAUAUCAUUUAUGAUUUGUUCCAAGCCUAAAACCAUCAUCAUACCACCAUUUUCCCAUCAUUUUGAAUCAAAUUGCAAAAUUGACAAAAUUGGCAAUUGGCUUCACAAAAGCAAAUAUAGUACAGCAUUUUCUGUACAACCACAAGCAGCAUUGUGUUUGGCCUGCUAGCAGCCUUUCCAGCCCAUUUGUGCAGACAAACACACCCACCAUUUUCACUUGUUCCACAAUUAGCAAUUUGCAAAAUGACCAUUACACACAAAACCAAUUUACCACAUGAUUAAAUGAUGAUUAACAGAUGAUAUUUAAGCCUUCAUUUUCUGUUUCCAACCCUAGUUCUAAGCAGCCACCAACCAGAAAAGCUCACUCUCUCAUUUUUGCAUUUGUGGCCUUUGGCAAUUUUUGCUCGAAAUCUCCAAACCACUUGAACAUUCCUUCAUGUUUCCAUCAUCUAACCACCAUUAAGAGUCAUUCCUGAUCAUAAGAUACUGACUGGAAUAGCAUUGCAAGGUCUGCAUUUUCAUGAGUCCAACAAUGGUAGUUUUCGGUUCUGGGAUUUCUAAGAGUUGCUGAGCUUCAAG
rnacentral:lncRNA from 1 species